GCCAGUAGGGCUGCAAUUGCAGGAUACUCUGAUAUAGUGUUAUUUAAAGUAGUUACUUUCGCUGGUU
rnacentral:tRNA from 1 species